UCGAAUAAUCCAUGUCUCCUUCAUAUAUUUUCGAUAAUAUGGUUCGAAAGUUUCUACUAAAUCACCGUAAAUGAUUGGACUAUGAGGGCAGAUUCUUUUUGU
rnacentral:ncRNA from 1 species